UACGUAGGGGGCAAGCGUUGUCCGGAAUUAUUGGGCGUAAAGAGCGUGUAGGCGGCCAGAUAAGUCCGCUGUGAAAUCUCGAGGCUCAACUUCGAGCUGUCGGUGGAAACUAUCUGGCUAGAGUCCGGAAGAGGAGAAUGGAAUUCCUGGUGUAGCGGUGAAAUGCGCAGAUAUCAGGAGGAACACCGGUGGCGAAGGCGGGUCUCUGGGCAAUAACUGACGCUGAGGAGCGAAAGCGUGGGGAGCGAACAGG
rnacentral:rRNA from 1 species